rnacentral:rRNA from 1 species
CCUACGGGUGGCAGCAGUGGGGAAUAUUGGACAAUGGGCGAAAGCCUGAUCCAGCCAUGCCGCGUGUGUGAAGAAGGCCUUCGGGUUGUAAAGCACUUUCAGUGGGGAAGAAAGCCUUGGGGCUAAUACCCUCGAGGAAGGACAUCACCCACAGAAGAAGCACCGGCUAACUCCGUGCCAGCAGCCGCGGUAAUACGGAGGGUGCGAGCGUUAAUCGGAAUUACUGGGCGUAAAGCGCGCGUAGGCGGUCUGAUAAGCCGGUUGUGAAAGCCCCGGGCUCAACCUGGGAACGGCAUCCGGAACUGUCAGGCUAGAGUGCAGGAGAGGUAGGUAGAAUUACCGGUGUAGCGGUGAAAUGCAUAGAGAUCGGGAGGAAUACCAGUGGCGAAGGCGGCCUUCUGGACUGACACUGACGCUGAGGUGCGAAAGCGUGGGUAGCAAACAGGAUUAGAUACCCCGGUAGUC